AUUGAACGCUGGCGGCAGGCUUAACACAUGCAAGUCGAGCGAGCGGCGGACGGGGGCGUAAUGUAUGGGGACUGCCCGCUAGAGGGGGAUAACUACUGGAAACGGUAGCUAAUACAGCAUACUAUCGGAAAACCCAUAUGGGAUUAGCUAGUAGGUGAGGUAAUGGCCCACCUAGGCGACGAUCCCUAGCUGGUCUGAGAGGAUGAUCAGCCACACUGUGACUGAGACAGGGCCCAGACUCCUACGGAGGCAGCAGUGGGGAAUCUUGGACAAUGGGGGAAACCCUGAUCCAGCCAUCCCGCGUGUAUGAUGAAGGCCUUCGGGUUGUAAAGUACUUUUGGCAGGGAAGCGGUAUCUGCAGAAUAAUCACCGUCUAACGUCGUGCCAGCAGCCGCGGUAAUUC
rnacentral:rRNA from 1 species